ACGAACGCUGGCGGCAUGCCUAACACAUGCAAGUCGAGCGCCCUUGGGUAGCGAUACGCGAGGGAGCGGCGCACGGGUGAGUAACGCGUGGGAACCUGCCCCGAGGUUCGGAACAACCGCGGGAAACUGCGGCUGAUACCGGAUGAUCCCCCUGGGUAAGACCAGGGGGCAAAGAUUUAUCGCCUUGGGAGGGGCCCGCGUCCGAUUAGGUAGUUGGCGGGGUAACGGCCCACCAAGCCUGUGAUCGGUAGCUGGUCUGAGAGGAUGAUCAGCCACACUGGGACUGAGACACGGCCCAGACUCCUACGGGAGGCAGCAGUGGGGAGUAUUGGACAAUGGGGGCAACCCUGAUCCAGCAAUGCCGCGUGGGUGAUGAAGGCCUUCGGGUUGUAAAGCCCUUUCGCACGCGAAGAUGAUGACGGUAGCGUGAGAAGAAGCCCCGGCUAACUUCGU
rnacentral:rRNA from 1 species